rnacentral:rRNA from 1 species
GAUGAACGCUGGCGGCGUGCUUAACACAUGCAAGUCGAACGGUGAAGGCGGAGCUUGCUCUGCUGGAUCAGUGGCGAACGGGUGAGUAACACGUGAGCAAUCUGCCCCUGACUCUGGGAUAAGCGCUGGAAACGGCGUCUAAUACUGGAUACGAUCUGCUAAAGCAUCUUCAGCAGCUGGAAAGAACUUCGGUCAGGGAUGAGCUCGCGGCCUAUCAGCUUGUUGGUGAGGUAACGGCUCACCAAGGCGUCGACGGGUAGCCGGCCUGAGAGGGUGACCGGCCACACUGGGACUGAGAGACGGCCCAGACUCCUACGGGAGGCAGCAGUGGGGAAUAUUGCACAAUGGGCGAAAGCCUGAUGCAGCAACGCCGCGUGAGGGACGACGGCCUUCGGGUUGUAAACCUCUUUUAGCAGGGAAGAAGCGAAAGUGACGGUACCUGCAGAAAAAGCGCCGGCUAACUACGUG